GGAGAGGUGGCGGAAUGGUAGACGCGCUACUUUGAGGGGGUAGUGGGCUAAGCCCGUGUGAGUUCGAGUCUCAUCCUCUUCA
rnacentral:tRNA from 1 species